rnacentral:rRNA from 1 species
CACACCGCCCGUCACGUCAUGGGAGCCGAGAGUGCCCGAAGUCGCUGCAUUUCAGCAGUGCCCACGGCAAGAUCGGUGACUGGGACG